UUCUAGUUCAAUUUGUUUACAGUGUAUUGAAUCUGUUUAAUAUUCCAGCAGAAAACUAAAGCUUAAUACUCAGAGGCAGAAAACUAAAGUUCCUUUUAUUGAAUCUGUUUACAGUAUUGCUCCUCUAUAUGGUGUCUACUCGUUCUCAAUCUAAAGCACCUAUGGAAGAGAAUUCUGCACAACCCGAGUUAACAACAAAGCCAUCUGCAACUGCCAAACAAUCUGCAAAGGACGUCGCUCAAAAAUCUGGUAAGAGACGAUCUGAAGCUUGGGAUAUUCAUUUUAUUGAUGUUGAAAAUUCAAAUCCAAAAAGGGUUGCAUGUAAAUAUUGUGGGAUUACGUAUGGUUGUGGAGAAAAAAACAAUAGCACUACUAAUUUGAAAGAUCAUAUAAAGCUACGUAGAUGUAAGAAAUAUCCUUAUGCAACACCUAGUUCUCAAACAACUCUAGAUUGUAAACUAAACAAAGAUGGAAAAUCGCAAAUUGUAGCAGUUAGUUUUAGUUUAGAAGCUUGUAGAAAAGCCCUCACUAAGAUGAUCAUUGUGGAUGAGUUGCCUUUUAGAUUUGUGGAUGGUGAGGGGUUUAGAGAAUUUGUGAAAAUUUUACAACCUAAGUUUAUCUUGCCUUUUCGUCAAACUGUUGCCAAGGAUUGCCUUAAGCUUUAUAUGGAAGAAAAGAAAACCUUAAAAAAUGCCUUGAAAGGACAAAGGGUAUGUCUCACAAUUGAUACAUGGACUUCAAUCCAAAACUUGAACUACAUGGUUCUCACGGCCCAUUUUAUUGAUAGUGAUUGGAAAUUGCACAAAAGAAUCCUAAACUUUUGUCAAGUUCCAAAUCACAAGGGUGAGACCAUUGGUAAGUUAAUAGAGAAGUGUUUGCAAGAUUGGGACAUUGGUAGUAUUUUCACCAUCACCGUUGAUAAUGCAAGUUCUAAUAAUUUUGCCAUUGAUUACUUGAAGAGAAACACAAACCAUUGGGAAGGGACCAUUUUAGAACACAAGUAUUUGCACAUGAGAUGUUGUGCACAUAUUUUUAAUCUUGUUGUUACUGAUGGUUUAGAGUUAGUGGAUGUGUCGGUUUUGAAAGUUCGUCAUGCGGUUAGAUUUGUGAGGUCUUCUUCUAGUAGGUUUGUACUUUUUAACAAAUGUGUGCAAGAAGCCAGGAUUAGUUGUGAUAAGUUGUUGUGCUUAGAUGUUCCAACUAGAUGGAACUCUACUUAUAUGAUGCUUGAAGCAGCGGAAAAGUUUGAACUUGCUUUCAAACGAUUGGAUGGUAAUGCACUUUACAAGAAGCAUUUUGCAGAUGAAAGAUUUGGAAAGGACAAAGUUGCCUUGUCACCCCCUAUUGCUUCCGAUUGGGUGAAUGUUAGGCAAUUUGUGAAGUUUUUGAAAGUGUUUUAUAAUGCCACAUUACGAGUCUCCGGAUCUUUGUAUGUUACCUCUAAUGCUUUCUUUAAUGAACUUUAUCUCAUUGAGCAUAGAUUGUCUAAGUUUGCCAAUAGUAUGGAUGAUCGUUUAAGUGCUAUGGGUAUGACAAUGCAAAAGAAAUAUGAUAAGUAUUGGAGCUUGGAUCGUGUUAAUCUUUUAUUGUAUAUUGCUAUUGCGCUUGAUCCUCGAAGGAAAAUGGAGUAUAUAUCUUUUUGUUUUAAGGAGUUGUAUGGUCCCUCGCAAGCAAAGUAUUUGGUAGAUAAGGUGAAUGAUGCUUUGAUUGAGUUGUAUGCAUUCUAUACAACACUUUAUCUUGGUUUAGGUGUGCCAACACAAUCACAACGUGAAGCAUUAAGUGGAGUGGAAGUUAAUGAAAGCGACGAAGAAGAAGAUGUGGAUGCAAUAGUUUCAAGAUUUCAAAAAUAUUUGAAAGAUAAAGAAGACUUGGGUAGUAAAUCUGAGGUUGAGAGGUAUUUGGGAGAUCAUUGUGAGAAGAGUGGUGAGGCCUUUGAUAUUUUGGAUUGGUGGAAGAACAAUUCUACUAGGUACAAAGUUCUUUCUCAAAUAGCUCGAGAUGUUUUGGCGAUUCCUGUGUCUUCGGUUUCUUCUGAAUCUGCAUUUAGCAUGGGUGGUCGAAUACUUGACCCAUUCCGUAGUUCUUUAGCUCCUAGCACGGUAGAAGCACUUAUUUGUUCUCAAGAUUGGUUGCGCUCUCCUUCAAUUGCAAUUAAUCUUCGACAAUUUAUGGAUGAAGUGGAGGAAUUUGAAAAAAUUGAUGCAGGUACUAAUUUAAAUCAUUUAGUUAAUUUGACUAUUUGAGCAUUGUUGUUCUUAUAUAUAUAUAUUGAUUGUUGACACAUGUAUAUCUUGCAUUGUUGUUGUAGAAUUGUUGGGAUCGACAUCAAAUGCUGAUAGUGUUAUGGAAUUGGAAGAAGAAGAGGAAUGAGAUGGUGUUGAUUGUUGAAGACUUGGAGAGUUGCAGCAGCCAACAAGUGAAGAGUAUGAGGUUUAUUAAUUAUUAAUGUAUUGCACUAAUGUGAGUCUGUGACUGUGUAAAAGAGUGUAACACUAGUUUUUUUUUUUUUUUUCUUUUUCUAUGUGUGACUAAGGUUUAAGUGUAAUAGUGUAUGCAGUUUUGCAGUACUGUGAUUGUAUUAUAAAGUUAUGAACUACUGUGAGUGCCAGGUUAUGUCAGAUUCAGAUUUUACAAGUAUUAUGAAUUCUAAUUUUAUCAAGUGUAUCCAGGGAAUUAUGUGUGCUGUGUAUAUAUCAAAUGUAUGCAGUGAAUGAGUGAAUGUGUACAGUAUAUAUCAUGUUUGGGUUGGUUUUGGUUUAUCUAUAAAUAUUUUGGUUUGGUU
rnacentral:lncRNA from 1 species